rnacentral:misc_RNA from 1 species
UCCGGUUUGUCAUCGGCAGUCUCCCUAGAGUGCCCAGCAUGACCUGAUGGCAACUAAAUGUAGGGGUUGCGCUCGUUGCAGGACUUAACCUAACAUCUCACGACACGAGCUGACGACAGCCAUGCAGCACCUGUGCACGAUCUCCGAAGAGGGGCUCUCGUUUCUGAGAGCUUGCUCGUGCAUGUCAAGCCUAGGUAAGGUUCUUCGCGUUGCGUCGAAUUAAACCACAUGCUCCACCGCUUGUGCGGGCCCCCGUCAAUUCCUUUGAGUUUCAACCUUGCGGUCGUACUCCCCAGGCGGGGUACUUCCUGCGUUAGCGCCGGCACCCAGAGGGUCGCUCCCCCAAGCACCUAGUACCCAUCGUUUACGGCGUGGACUAC